rnacentral:rRNA from 1 species
UGCCAGACUCCUACGGGAGGCAGCAGUGGGGAAUAUUGGGCAAUGGGCGCAAGCCUGACCCAGCAACGCCGCGUGAAGGAAGAAGGCUUUCGGGUUGUAAACUUCUUUUAUCAGGGACGAAACAAAUGACGGUACCUGAUGAAUAAGCCACGGCUAACUACGUGCCAGCAGCCGCGGUAAUACGUAGGUGGCAAGCGUUAUCCGGAUUUACUGGGUGUAAAGGGCGUGUAGGCGGGACUGCAAGUCAGAUGUGAAAACCAUGGGCUCAACCCAUGGCCUGCAGUUGAAACUGUAGUUCUUGAGUGAUGGAGAGGCAGGCGGAAGUCCGUGUGUAGCGGUG